UGUGCCUAAUAACAUGSWUKKCGAGCGGAACUARUUUACUAGUUUAGCGGCAAAUGGGUGAGUAACACGUACCUAAUCUACCUUAAAGAUCGGAACAACAAUGGGAAACCGUUGCUAAUACCGGAUAUACCUUUGAAAAGCAUUUUUUAAAGGUGAAAGGAGCAACUGCUUCACUUUGAGAUGAGGGUGCGUUACAUUAGUUAGUUGGCAGGGUAAUGGCCUACCAAGACGAUGAUGUAUAGCCGAGUUGAGAGACUGAUCGGCCACACUGGGACUGAGAUACGGCCCAGACUCCUACGGGAGGCAGCAGUAGGGAAUAUUCCACAAUGGGCGCAAGCCUGAUGGAGCGACACAGCGUGCAGGAUGAAGGUCUUCGGAUCGUAAACUGCUGUUAUACAGAAAGAAAAGAUAUAGGAGUGGAAAGCCUAUAUUAUGACGGUACUGUAUCAGAAAGUGACGGCAAACUAUGUGCCAGCAGCCGCGGUAAUACAUAGGUCACAAGCGUUAUCCGAAAUUAUUGGGCGUAAAGCGUCCGUAGGUUGUUUGUUAAGUCUGGAGUUAAAGACCGGUGCUCAACGCCGGCACGCUUUAGAUACUGGCAAACUAGAGUUAUAAAGAGGUAAGUGGAAUUUCAUGUGAAGCGGUGGAAUGCGUAGAUAUAUGAAAGAACACCAAUGGCGAAGGCAGCUUACUGGUUAUAUACUGACACUGAGGGACGAAAGCGUGGGGAGCAAACAGGAUUAGAUACCCUGGUAGUCCACGCCGUAAACGAUGAUCAUUAGUUGGUGGGGGAACCCUCGCUAACGCAGCUAACGCAUUAAAUGAUCCGCCUGAGUAGUAUGCUCGCAAGAGUGAAACUUAAAGGAAUUGACGGGGACCCGCACAAGCGGUGGAGCAUGUGGUUUAAUUUGACGAUACGCGUAGAACCUUACCCACUCUUGACAUCCCUUGCAAAGCUAUAGAGAUAUAGUG
rnacentral:rRNA from 1 species